rnacentral:tmRNA from 2 species
GGGGGCGUCCUGGUUUCGACGGGUAGUCUGAAGUUGGAGUGGCAUGCCGAGGAUGAUUCGUUGGCCUCGUAAAAUCCCCGAAUCAAAACAAACAAACGCAAACUCUAACGAGCUCGCACUCGCGGCUUAAGCCCCGCGACAUUUUCCCGUUGACGCCUGAUGGCCGGGAAGAUGCACUUAUCAGGCUGGUCGGAUGAUCGGGUGACCGGGUCGAAGACGAGAUUCAACAGGACUCUAGGUGAAGCGGAUUCUGCAGGUCGAAGCCGCCAACCGAAACUAAAAGACAAGCUAAGCAUGUAGAAGCUUCGAUCGACGGUUAUUCGGACAGGGGUUCAACUCCCCUCGCCUCCACCA